rnacentral:rRNA from 1 species
CGGCAACAGCUCAAAUUUGAAAUCUGGCCCCCCCCGGGGCCCGAGUUGUAAUUUGGAGAGGAUGCUUUUGGGCAACCGCCGGCCUAAGUUCCUUGGAACAGGACGUCACAGAGGGUGAGAAUCCCGUACGUGGCCGGAAAGGUGCCCUCCGUAAAGCUCCUUCGAC